UACAGAGGUGGCAAGCGUUGUUCGGAAUUACUGGGCGUAAAGGGCGCGUAGGCGGCCUGCUAAGUCGGACGUGAAAUCCCUCGGCUCAACCGGGGAACUGCGUCCGAUACUGGUGGGCUCGAAUCCGGGAGAGGGAUGUGGAAUUCCAGGUGUAGCGGUGAAAUGCGUAGAUAUCUGGAGGAACACCUAUGGCGAAGGCAGCUCUCUGGGGACGGUACUGACGCUGAGACGCGAAAGCGUGGGGAGCGAACAGGG
rnacentral:rRNA from 1 species